rnacentral:rRNA from 1 species
CAAGGAAUUUUCCGCAAUGGGCGAAAGCCUGACGGAGCAACGCCGCGUGGGGGAGGAAGCUUUUCGGAGUGUAAACCUCUUUUCUUGGGGACGACGAACGACGGUACCCGAGGAAUAAGGACCGGCUAACUACGUGCCAGCAGCCGCGGUAAUACGUAGGGUCCGAGCGUUGUCCGGAGUUACUGGGCGUAAAGCGCGCGCAGGCGGCUCGUCAAGUCUGGCGUGAAAGCCCCCGGCUCAACCGGGGAGGGUCGUCGGAGACUGGCGAGCUUGAGGGCGGUAGGGGCUGGUGGAAUUCCCGGUGUAGUGGUGAAAUGCGUAGAGAUCGGGAGGAACACCUGUGGCGAAGGCGGCCAGCUGGGCCGUCCCUGACGCUGAGGCGCGAAGGCGUGGGGAGCGAACGGG